GACGAACGCUGGCGGCGUGCCUAACACAUGCAAGUCGAACGGAACUGUUUUGAAAGAUUUCUUCGGAAUGAAUUUGAUUUAGUUUAGUGGCGGACGGGUGAGUAACGCGUGAGUAACCUGCCUUCAAGAGGGGAAUAACAUUCUGAAAAGAAUGCUAAUACCGCAUGACAUAUCGGAACCACAUGGUUUUGAUAUCAAAGAUUUUAUCGCUUGAAGAUGGACUCGCGUCCGAUUAGUUAGUUGGUGAGGUAACGGCUCACCAAGACCGCGAUCGGUAGCCGAACUGCUUGACCGACCGGCCACAUAGUGACCGAGACACCGGCCAGAGUCCUACGAGAGCCAGCAGUGAGAGAUACUGCGCCAGGGGCGGCAUCAUGACGGACAUAAGAAGCGUGAAGGAUGAUAGCUUCAGGAUGGUAAAAUUCAUUUCUUAAGGACGACAUAUGACGGUACUUAAUGACUACGCCCGCGCUAACUACGUG
rnacentral:rRNA from 1 species